AAUUGAAUGAGAUAAAAAUUAUUAGUGAUUCAAUGAUAGGAGUGGUUAUAUGCAUGGGAUAAAACAAUAUUGGGCCAUUGUACAUGGAGAUUAAAUGUGUUUUGUCUCUUGUACGUGGUCUAGACAUUG